GCGAGCACUUGUGCUCGAGUGGCGAACGGGUGAGUAAUACAUAAGUAACCUGCCCUAGACAGGGGGAUAACUAUUGGAAACGAUAGCUAAGACCGCAUAGGUACGGACACUGCAUGGUGACCGUAUUAAAAGUGCCUCAAAGCACUGGUAGAGGAUGGACUUAUGGCGCAUUAGCUGGUUGGCGGGGUAACGGCCCACCAAGGCGACGAUGCGUAGCCGACCUGAGAGGGUGACCGGCCACACUGGGACUGAGACACGGCCCAGACUCCUACGGGAGGCAGCAGUAGGGAAUUUUCGGCAAUGGGGGAAACCCUGACCGAGCAACGCCGCGUGAAGGAAGAAGGUUUUCGGAUUGUAAACUUCUGUUAUAAAGGAAGAACGGCGGCUACAGGAAAUGGUAGCCGAGUGACGGUACUUUAUUAGAAAGCCACGGCUAACUACGUGCCAGCAGCCGCGGUAAUACGUAGGUGGCAAGCGUUAUCCGGAAUUAUUGGGCGUAAAGAGGGAGCAGGCGGCAGCAAGGGUCUGUGGUGAAAGCCUGAAGCUUAACUUCAGUAAGCCAUAGAAACCAGGCAGCUAGAGUGCAGGAGAGGAUCGUGGAAUUCCAUGUGUAGCGGUGAAAUGCGUAGAUAUAUGGAGGAACACCAGUGGCGAAGGCGACGAUCUGGCCUGCAACUGACGCUCAGUCCCGAAAGCGUGGGGAGCAAAUAGGAUUAGAUACCCUAGUAGUCCACGCCGUAAACGAUGAG
rnacentral:rRNA from 1 species